GUAUAAGUACAACCUUAACAAGGUGAAACCGCGAUCGGCUCAUUACAACAGCUAUAAUCUACUCGGUCUUGAACAGUUACUCGGAUAACUGUGGUAAUUCUAGAGCUAAUACGUGCACCGAGGCUGCUCCUCGCGGGGCAGUGCAUUUGUUGGAGCAAAACCAGGCGGCUUCGGCCGUUUUUGCUGACUCAGAACAACUCAGCUGAUCGCAUGGGCUUGUCCCGGCGACGUACCGUCCGAGUGUCUGCCUUAUCAACUUUCGAUGGUAGUGUACGUGACUACCAUGGUUGUGACGGGUAACGGAGGAUAAGGGUUCGACUCCGGAGAAGGGGCCUGAGAAAUGGCCACUACGUCUAAGGAUGGCAGCAGGCGCGCAAAUUACCCACUCUCGGUUCGAGGAGGUAGUGACGAAAAAUAACAAGGCUGUUCUCUACGAGGCCAGCCAUUGGAAUGGGUACAACACAAACCCUUUAACGAGUAUCAAUGAGAGGGCAAGUCUGGUGCCAGCAGCCGCGGUAAUUCCAGCUCUCAAAAUGCAUAGAACCAUUGCUGCGGUUAAAAAGCUCGUAGUUGGAUCUGUGCCGGCGACGUGGUCCACCCUAACGGGCGGUACUGCGCUCGUCGGCUUUGGGCCGGUCUUCGUGCGGUGGCCUUCACUGGUCGCCGUCCGUGGCUGGCUGGUUUACUUUGAGCAAAUCAGAGUGCUCAGCACAGGCGUUUCGCCGGAAUGUUCGUGCAUGGAAUAAUAGAAAAGGAUUUCGGUCCUCUUUUAUUGGUUUUGUGGACUGAGAUAAUGGUUAACAGAGACGAACGGGGGCAUUCGUAUUGCUGCGUGAGAGGUGAAAUUCUUGGACCGCAGCAGGACGGACUACAGCGAAAGCAUUUGCCAAGCGCGUCUUCAUUAAUCAAGAACGAAAGUCAGAGGUUCGAAGGCGAUCAGAUACCGCCCUAGUUCUGACCGUAAACGAUGCCAACUAGCGAUCCGACGGCGGCUUUCAGGCCCUGUUGGGGAGCUUCCCGGAAACGAAAGUCUUCCGGUUCCGGGGGAAGUAUGGUUGCAAAGCUGAAACUUAAAGGAAUUGACGGAAGGGCACCACCAGGAGUGGAGCCUGCGGCUUAAUUUGACUCAACACGGGAAAACUCACCCGGCCCGGACACCGUGAGGAUUGACAGAUUGAUAGCUUUUUCAUGAUUCGGUGGUUGGUGGUGCAUGGCCGUUCUUAGUUCGUGGAUCGAUUUGUCUGGUUUAUUCCGAUAACGAGCGAGACUCCAGCCUACUAACUAGUGCGGGCGUUGUCUCUGCGCUUGUCACUUCUUAGAGGGAUUGGCUGCGCCUAGCGGCACGAAACGGAGCAAUAACAGGUCUGUGAUGCCCUUAGAUGUCCGGGGCUGCACGCGCGCUACACUGGCAAAGGCAGCGUGCUUGUCCGCCUCCGAAAGGAGCCGGUAAACCCUUGAAAAUUUGCCGUGAUUGGGAUCGGAAAUUGCAAUUAUUUUCCGUGAACGAGGAAUUCCUAGUAAGUGCGAGUCAUCAGCUCGCGUUGAUUACGUCCCUGCCCUUUGUACACACCGCCCGUCGCUGCCUAGAACUGAGCCAUUUCGAGAAUAUUCGGGAUCGCUGGUUGCGGGCCUUUCGGGGCACGCCUCUGGCAAGAGAACGAACGUAAUCGCAGUGGCUUGAACCGGGCAAAAGUCGUACCAAAGGUA
rnacentral:rRNA from 1 species